AUUGAACGCUGGCGGCAGGCUUAACACAUGCAAGUCGAGCGGGGUGAUGGUGCUUGCACUAUCACUUAGCGGCGGACGGGUGAGUAAUGCUUAGGAAUCUGCCUAUUAGUGGGGGACAACAUCUCGAAAGGGAUGCUAAUACCGCAUACGUCCUACGGGAGAAAGCAGGGGAUCACUUGUGACCUUGCGCUAAUAGAUGAGCCUAAGUCGGAUUAGCUAGUUGGUGGGGUAAAGGCCUACCAAGGCGACGAUCUGUAGCGGGUCUGAGAGGAUGAUCCGCCACACUGGGACUUGAACACGGCCCAGACUCCUACGGGGGGCAGCGGUGGGGAAUAUUGGACAAUGUGGGGAACCCUGAUCCAGCCAUGCCGCGUGUGUGAAGAAGGCCUUAUGGUUGUAAAGCACUUUAAGCGAGGAGGAGGCUCUUUUGGUUAAUACCCAAGAUGAGUGGACGUUACUCGCAGAAUAAGCACCGGCUAACUCUGUGCCAGCCGCCGCCGUAA
rnacentral:rRNA from 1 species